rnacentral:lncRNA from 1 species
GCUCGCCGGCCCGCGUGCCCGCGCAGGUGUCCGGGGCGGGAUGAGCGCGGGGUCCCCGGCGCCCGGCCCUGUUGUCUCCGCGUGUCGCGCCGCUCGGAGCUCGGGUCCCCGGAGCGCGCUGUGCCUGUGGGCCUCCGCGCGUCGACGCCGGUCGUGGCUCCCUGAGCCUUAACUGCCCCGCAGGCGGCCAGGCCGCUGGCCAGCCUCGCUGCGACCUGGACACGCCUGGCCCGCUUGUUUCCCUACCUUAAAGGUCACAUCUCGCCACUGCCCUGGUCCAGUGUCCGAAAACCAUUGUUUCAUAUAUUUGUCUGGUUUUUUUAGUUGGUGGAGGUAAGAACUUCAAGCUGGUGCCUCACGCUUCACAGCGGCCAGACGCAGAAAGCAGAAGUUUGUUGAGACGAUGACCCAGUUGUGCUGUUUAAAUUUAUUUUUAUUGAACUCUUCAGCUGAAAGUACACGGAAAACAUGACGAAGGCAAACAGGCCUUUUACCCCCCAAUUCUUUGAAAGCGCAGUUUAAAGAAGUCAACUAAGUUGACUGGUAUUGAUCAUUGAUUAUUAAAGACCUAAAAGUUAUUAUUAAAGACCUAAAGUGUUUGAUGCAACUUUGGAAAAAAUAUUAUACUGAUGAAACAAGAUCAUUUGCAGCUUCACUGAAGGUAAAUUUUUUCCCUAGUGGAAUUAAAUUUUCUAAAAUGGCCCCUCCUGUUUGGAAGUUGGAAGAAGCAGACUAAGAAGCAGCUAAAAUUUUUGGAUAAGCCAGAUUAAAUUCAUCAUGAAGUUAAUUUUAAGUUGCGACCUUUUCGCAGAAGGUGUCAAACUUUUCCUUUGGUUUCUGUACCAGUUGGUGAUGGGUCUGGAGGUCAGGUUCUCGUCCUGAGAGCCCUUUGCUCUGUGACAGUACAGCGCAGAGCUCAGGAUGGAAGAGCUUUGGGUUCAGAUAGGUCCGUCUUCCUUGGGGUUCUUAUGCAUAAAGUGGACGUUCUUACUUCCCCCGUCAGCAUCCACCAGCCCUUCCAUCGUUACUCGUCCCGGGAUGGAAGGGGUGACUAGCCUUGCUGAUCAGAAGAUCUCAGUGCCCUGCCACGUGGAACUUGCAGUGUGAUCCACAAGCCGAAUCACAUGGACUCAGUACCUUUGCGGAAGCUACUGGAAAAUUUCUUUAAUUCUCCCUGCCGAACGUAGGAACAAGAAAAGACGUGAAAUUGCAGCUGUGCUGGCUGUCUUGUCAUCACAAGAAACAGGAUUUUCCUUGGCUCUUCACCUGAGAAUCUGGGGGUACAACACGUGACAGCAUGGGGCUCCCCUAAGACUGUGGUCCCAGGCAUUUCUCCUCUCCAGCUCGCCCACCUGUCACCCAGUGUGGACAUCGCCACCUCUGCGUCCUUGCCAUUUCCAGCUGCAGUGCUUCUCCCCAGGUGAGUCCAUCUUGCUCUGAGUCUCUUAUUCAUCUGUCUCCAAUUUUCUGGGCAGUGGUUUGCCCUGUGACCUCAAUUUUCCGAUGGAUCCAGGAAAGGUCAUUGAUUUUCCAUUCGUUUGGUUUUUUUCCUAUUGUAAGGACAGGAGGAGCAACUCUGAGCUCUGAGCAUUGGAAUAAUAACAGAUACUAACUCAGUGGUAAAGAAUUGCUUUAAAAUUCAUUGUCUGUUUUUUAUAUAUACAUUUAAAUAUAUUCGUAUUAAAAUAUCUUCUAACCAUUUAAAACCAGGAAGUUUGUUUAGGAUAUUCCAAGUAUUGCCAUUUUUAUUUUUAAAAAUUUAUUUUAUUUUAUUUUUUGUCUUUCUAGGGCCGCACAUACAACAUAUGGAGGUUCCCAGGCUAAGGGUCCAAUCAGAGCUGUAGCUCCCGGCCUACACCAGAGCAGGAUCCAGAGCCACAUCUGCAACCUACACCACAGCUCAUGCCAACACCAGACCCUUAACCCACUGAGCGAGGCCGGGGAUUGAACCUGAGUCCUCAUAGAUGCUAGUAGGGUUCGUUCACCGCUGAGCCACGAAGGGAACUCCAAGCCAUUUUUAUUUAUUUAUUUAUUUAUUUUUGUCUCUUUUUUUUUUUUUUUUUUUGUCUUUGUUGUUGUUGUUGUUGUUGUUGCUAUUUCUUGGGCUGCUCCCUCGGCAUGUGGAGGUUCCCAGGCUAGGGGUUCAAUCGGAGCUGUAGCCACUGGCCUACGCCAGAGCCACAGCAACGCGGGAUUCGAGCCGCGUCUGCAACCUACACCACAGCUCACAGCAACGCCGGAUCGUUAACCCACUGAGCAAGGGCAGGGACCGAACCCGCAACCUCAUGGUUCCUAGUCAGAUUCAUUAACCACUGCGCCACGACGGGAACUCCCCAAGCCAUUUUUAAAUUAAUUUUUUUCUGGCAAAAAGGGAUGAAUGUUAUUUUUCUACAGAAUACUACCAAAUCAUUCCAGUUCUGGGAGGAUCACUUAACCUCAUUCUGCACAAAGAGUCUUUCUGUGCAAAGGUGCAUAUCGUAAUAACACGUGUGCAGCGCCGUUCUAUUGACGUUAUUGUCCAAGUCAUCGGUCACUUAACCUUAACACUAAAUCUGCCUGGUAAGUCAUCUUUUGUCUUGUCUUUUCCACCCAGAGAGGUCUCUAAGCUCCUGGGAACAGGACACGGUCUCCUGUUUCUCUGGGUGCUCCCCCUAUCACCCACGAGACUCGGCACCCUUGUGUUUUUAGCGUGCUGGGCGCUGGGCAAUGACAUGGCGAAGCGGAAGUGGUCCUACCCCAUGGGGCUGGGUCACCGUCUGGGAGGCGACGUUCCUGGGAAAGUGGUAUAGAUGCUUUUGGUGGAGUUGCGAUUAGCCCCGUGAAGGAGGGCGCUGUGUCAAUGCCACGUGGUCGUGAGCGAUUUACACACAGCAGGUGCGCGAUCUCCUGGUUUGUCCUGCGUACCCUGUGUCCGAGACGUUGUUUGCUUGUGGAGGAGCCUGACUCAAGCUUGUCCCCGACGCUGGUGACGCUGUGUUCAUCUCCUCGGCUGUGAGUGUCGCCGUAAGCGUUCCAGACCCUGAAAUCACCGAUGCGCCACUUGGGAAUGUGACCUUGGCUUGGUAAGUGCCCUCAGAAGUACGCCCCUGGCUCCCUGUGGUUUCUGUAAGGGUUUUAGGGCCGUGUGGUUGGAUUCCAUUGACGUUGCCAAAAAAAAAAAAGAAAAAAA